UACGGGGGGGGCAAGCGUUGUUCGGAAUUACUGGGCGUAAAGGGCUCGUAGGCGGCCAACUAAGUCGGACGUGAAAUCCCCAGGCUCAACCUGGGAACUGCGUCCGAUACUGGAUGGCUUGAAUUCGGGAGAGGGAUGCAGAAUUCCAGGUGUAGCGGUGAAAUGCGUAGAUAUCUGGAGGAACACCGGUGGCGAAGGCGGCAUCCUGGACCGGUAUUGACGCUGAGGCGCGAAAGCCAGGGGAGCAAACGGG
rnacentral:rRNA from 1 species